rnacentral:rRNA from 1 species
UCGAGCGGUAAGGCCCUUCGGGGUACACGAGCGGCGAACGGGUGUGUAACACGUGGGUGAUCUGCCUCGCACUCUGGGAUAAGCCUGGGAAACUGGGUCUAAUACCGGAUAUGACCUUACAUGCAUGGUGUUUGGUGGAAAGAUUUAUCGGUGCGAGAUGGGCCCGCGGCCUAUCAGCUUGUUGGUGGGGUAAUGGCCUACCAAGGCGACGACGGGUAGCCGGCCUGAGAGGGCGACCGGCCACACUGGGACUGAGACACGGCCCAGACUCCUACGGGAGGCAGCAGUGGGGAAUAUUGCACAAUGGGCGAAAGCCUGAUGCAGCGACGCCGCGUGAGGGAUGACGGCCUUCGGGUUGUAAACCUCUUUCGACAGGGACGAAGCGCAAGUGACGGUACCUGUAGAAGAAGCACCGGCCAACUACGUGCCAGCAGCCGCGGUAAUACGUAGGGUGCGAGCGUUGUCCGGAAUUACUGGGCGUAAAGAGCUUGUAGGCGGCUUGUCGCGUCGAUCGUGAAAACUUGGGGCUCAACCCCAAGCUUGCGGUCGAUACGGGCAGGCUUGAGUACUUCAGGGGAGACUGGAAUUCCUGGUGUAGCGGUGAAAUGCGCAGAUAUCAGGAGGAACACCGGUGGCGAAGGCGGGUCUCUGGGAAGUAACUGACGCUGAGAAGCGAAAGCGUGGGUAGCGAACAGGAUUAGAUACCCUGGUAGUCCACGCCGUAAACGGUGGGUACUAGGUGUGGGUUUCCUUCCACGGGAUCCGUGCCGUAGCUAACGCAUUAAGUACCCCGCCUGGGGAGUACGGCCGCAAGGCUAAAACUCAAAGGAAUUGACGGGGGCCCGCACAAGCGGCGGAGCAUGUGGAUUAAUUCGAUGCAACGCGAAGAACCUUACCUGGGUUUGACAUACACCGGAAACCUGCAGAGAUGUAGGCCCCCUUGUGGUCGGUGUACAGGUGGUGCAUGGCUGUCGUCAGCUCGUGUCGUGAGAUGUUGGGUUAAGUCCCGCAACGAGCGCAACCCUUAUCUUAUGUUGCCAGCGCGUAAUGGCGGGGACUCGUGAGAGACUGCCGGGGUCAACUCGGAGGAAGGUGGGGACGACGUCAAGUCAUCAUGCCCCUUAUGUCCAGGGCUUCACACAUGCUACAAUGGCCGGUACAGAGGGCUGCGAUACCGUGAGGUGGAGCGAAUCCCUUAAAGCCGGUCUCAGUUCGGAUCGGGGUCUGCAACUCGACCCCGUGAAGUUGGAGUCGCUAGUAAUCGCAGAUCAGCAACGCUGCGGUGAAUACGUUCCCGGGCCUUGUACACACCGCCCGUCACGUCAUGAAAGUCGGUAACACCCGAAGCCGGUGGCCUAACCCCUCGUGGGAGGGGCCGUCGAAGGUGGGAUCGGCGAUUGGGACG